rnacentral:tRNA from 2 species
GGUCCUAUAGCUCAGUUGGUCAGAGCACCUGACUCAUAAUCAGGGAGUCCUUGGUUCAAGCCCAAGUGGGACCACAA